rnacentral:rRNA from 1 species
GGAUUAGAUACCCUGGUAAUCCACGCCGUCAACGAUGAGAACUAGAUGUUGGGGGGCAUGACCCCUUAGUGUCGAAGCUAACGCGUUAAGUUCUCCGCCUGGGGAGUACGGCCGCAAGGUUAAAACUCAAAGGAAUUGACGGGGGCCCGCACAAGCGGUGGAGCAUGUGGUUUAAUUCGAUGCAACGCGAAGAACCUUACCUACUCUUGACAUCCUAAGAACCCUCUAGAGAUAGAGGGGUGCCUUCGGGAGCUUAGAGACAGGUGCUGCAUGGCUGUCGUCAGCUCGUGCCG